rnacentral:lncRNA from 1 species
AUGACCCCGGGCUUCCCGGGCGUCAACCAGAUCCACUACUGCCUGCACUCUAACUCUUCUAGAAUCUUUUCCCAGUGGAAAACCUACUUACCUCUCUGCAAUCCCACAUCAAGAGCAUCCGCCGGCAGCCUUAGCACUUUGAGAAAUUUUGAAGUGGAGAUGGGUGAAGCUGGAAAGAGUCUGACCAGAAAUAUCAGUCCAUGGGAUGCCUGGGUGGCUCAGCAGUUGAGUGUCUGCCUUUGGCUCAGGGAAGGAUCCCUGUCCGGUGAUGGAGUCCUGCAUCAGACUCCCUGCAUGGAGCCUGCUUCUUCCUCUCCCUGUGUCUCUGCCUCUCUCUCUCUGUGUGUAUCUCUCGUGAAUAAAUAGACUUUAAAAAAAAAAAAAAAAAAAGAAGAAGAAGAAGAAGAAAAGAAAAGAAAUAUCAGUCCACAAUGGAUUGGAAAUUCUAAAAACCGGUCCUUCAGGAGCACUUGGGUAGCUCAGUCAGCUUAGCAUGUACCUUCAGCUUAGGUCAUGAUCCCAGUGUUCUGGGAUCAAGGGAUUGGGCUCCUUGCUAAGCUGAGAGACUGCUGCUCCCUCUCCCUCUGACUGCCCCUCCCCCUGCUUUCUCUCUUUCUGUCAAAUAAAUAAAUAAAAUCUUUAAAUAAAUAAGUAAGAAAUUAAAAACUAAUCCUUCACCCCAGAUAAUUUGACAAGCAUUGGUCUGAAGUCCAUCUCCCCUUGCCUACUUCUGCACAUUCUCACACACAAAAUGUACACAUGGUGAAGAAAAAGGUUAAAAACGCUUUUGCGGAACUAUGUUAAUUACAAUGUGAAAAAAGUUGAGUGACAUGGAAAAAUUAUCCUGACAUAUGUAGAAAAAAAGCAGAUUACAGAAAACAAUGUAAAGUAUAACCUUGAAUUUGCAAAAUGGAUUUAUGAAUAGCAGAAUAUGGAGGGUGGUAUCUCUAGCAUAGAGUAUCAGGUUAAUAUCUGAAGAAUAAAUGGUGGAGCUUUUUUUUUUCAUUUCCUUUUUUCAGCUUAACUAUAUUUUCCACAAUGGACAUAUAAUAUUUUGUAAUGUAAAAAUCUAAUGCAUAGUAUCACCUUUUAUUUGGAAGUUUACUGAAAGGGAAAAUUAAGACCAUGCUCUGUUUUGGUCUUUGCCUUCAUGGUUCCAUUCAGUUUAGAUUGUUGGUUAAUAAUUAAUUUUUCUAUAAAGGAAAGGAAUAAUAUUGCUUCAAAUAAUACUUGUUUAAAAAGCAAGUUUCAGUUGUUUUAAUCCAACAGAAUAUUUUCCUAUUUUUUACAAAUAAAAUAUCUGAAAAAUUUGCAACUGAACUUCUGCUUCUGGAUCAUAAAUGGUG